GGGCAAUGGCUGCUGCUGUUAAAGCUCGUAGUUGGAUCAAGAGUUCGACAGUGCAAGGUGGCCCCGCUUGCUAUGUUGGCUCCGGUCACCGUAGCGGCGGCGGAUAAACCCCUUGCGCCAAACUGUCGUCUCUAACAGACCGAAACGGUUCCCUGUGAGUAGGUUCCUUCAUUGGGGCUGAAAGCGCCUACGCAUCAACCAUAUGCUUACGGGACGUCGGUCAGAGUUACUGUGAACAAACCAGCGUGUCCAAAACAGGCUUUCGCCUGAAUGUUCGAGCAUGGAAUAACAAGGGAUCGAUUCUCUCGGUUCUUUUUGUUGGUUUUUAAUCCGAGAAGGAGUAAUUCAGGCCACGGUGUCUGGGCUGGGCUCCCCUAGUCUCCGGAUUAGUCUCCAGUUAGGCCGUGUCCUUACGGGAUCAAUAGGGACUGACGGGGUCGUACGUACUUCCACGUCAGAGGUGAAAUUCUUAGAUCGUGGGAAGACGAACUUCUGCGAAAGCAUUCGACAAGAAUGUCUUCAUUAAUCAAGAACGAGAGUGUGGGGAUCGAAGAUGAUCAGAUACCGUCGUAGUCCACUACUGUAAACAAUGCCGUCUCAGGAUUGAGAAGUGAACCUAAUGACUUUCACAGCACUAACCCCUGAAACGAGAAAUCAAAGAUUAUGGGCUCAGGGGGGAGUACAUUCGCAAGGCUGAAACUUAAAGGAAUUGAUGGAAUGACACCACAAGGCGUGGAGUAUGCCGCUUAAUUUGACUCAACACAGGGAAUUUUACUAGGUCAGGACAAUGCAAGGAUUGACAGAUUGAGAGCUCUUUCUCGAUCCA
rnacentral:rRNA from 1 species